AGAUAGAGGCGCGAGCUCCAUCAGUACCUCCCAGCAUAUAAGCAGCUUUAGCUGAGAGCGAAAGGGGAUAUCGCCGAAGGGAAGGAAAGCAGCUGCGCUCUUCUUCGCUGGGCCGUCGGAUAAGAUCCGCCGGACUGUCACGUGAGUGGAGCGCUAUCUGG
rnacentral:ncRNA from 1 species